rnacentral:rRNA from 1 species
UUCCGGUUGAUCCUGCCGGAGGUCAUUGCUAGUGGAGUCCGAUUUAGCCAUGCUAGUUGCACGAGUUCAGACUCGUAGCAGAUAGCUCAGUAGCACGUGGCCAAACUACCCUACAGAGCGCGAUAACCUCGGGAAACUGAGGCUAAUAGCGCAUACGGCUCUCACGCUGGAACUGCGGAGAGCUCGAAACGCCCCGGCGCUGUAGGAUGUGGCUGCGGCCGAUUAGGUAGACGGUGGGGUAACGGCCCACCGUGCCAGUAAUCGGUACGGGUUGUGAGAGCAAGAGCCCGGAGACGGUAUCUGAGACAAGAUACCGGGCCCUACGGGGCGCAGCAGGCGCGAAACCUUUACACUGCACGCCAGUGCGAUAAGGGGACUCCAGGUGCGAGGGCAUAUAGUCCUCGCUUUUGUACACCGUAAGGUGGUGUACGAAUAAGUGCUGGGCAAGACCGGUGCCAGCCGCCGCGGUAAUACCGGCAGCACGAGUGAUGACCGCUAUUAUUGGGCCUAAAGCGUCCGUAGCUGGCCAGGCAAGUCCGUCGGGAAAUCUCCCCGCCCAACGGGGAGGCGUCCGGUGGAAACUGCUUGGCUUGGGACCGGAAGACCAGAGGGGUACGUCCGGGGUAGGAGUGAAAUCCCGUAAUCCUGGACGGACCACCGGUGGCGAAAGCGCCUCUGGAAGACGGGUCCGACGGUGAGGGACGAAAGCUCGGGUCACGAACCGGAUUAGAUACCCGGGUAGUCCGAGCUGUAAACGAUGUCUGCUAGGUGUGACACAGGCUACGAGCCUGUGUUGUGCCGUAGGGGAGCCGUGAAGCAGACCGCCUGGGAAGUACGUCCGCAAGGGUGAAACUUAAAGGAAUUGGCGGGGGAGCACUACAACCGGAGGAGCCUGCGGUUUAAUUGGAUUCAACGCCGGA